rnacentral:ribozyme from 1 species
AGAGGUAACAAUUUAGAGGCCAUAGCAGAAAUGCUCAUGGUGCAGCCUGUCAGAUUUCAACAAAUCUGUGAAUUCUGGU